CGCGGGGGUAGGUGCCGUACGCGCGCCGCAGCUCCCGGCGCACGAAGUCCGGUAGCUGCAGAGGGGGGCCCCGCGCGCGCUCCACGCGGCCCCAGCGCAGCUCGGUUUGCAGGCUCCCGCCCUCCGGCCACGGCGCCCAGCUCUCGGCCACCGCCGCGGGCGCCUGCAGCGACAGUCCCGAGAUGCCGGCGGCGGCGCAGGGCCGGCGCAGGGUCGUGGCGUAGGCCGGAGGGCAGGCCCACCAGGGCGGCGCGGCCUCGGGUGGCGCGGCGGGGCCGUAGAAGCGGUGGUAUUCCCGUGGGGCCGCCCACUCGCCCGCAUGCAGGCUCCCGGGCCGGCUGCGGAAGCUGUGGGCCUGGACUGGGGGUAGCAGCAGAGGGGCGGCCAGCCUUGGGGAGCCGGCGGGAUCCAGAGCGGGGCUCCUCUCCGCA
ensembl:lncRNA C10orf95-AS1 C10orf95 antisense RNA 1